rnacentral:lncRNA from 1 species
GCCCCUGUCCCUGCCUAGGGUGCUCCUGGGCUGCCCUGUGUGUGGGUCAGAGUGGGGACGGUCCCCAUCCCUGCCCAGGGUGCUCCUGGGCUGCCCUGUGUGUGGGUCAGAGUGGGGACGGUCCCUGUCCCUGCCCAGGGUGCUCCUGGGGUGCCCUGUGUGUGGGUGAGUGGGGAUGGUCCCUGUCCCUGCCCAGGGUGCUCCUGGGGUGCCCUGUGUGUGGGUGAGUUGGGACAGUCCCUGUCCCUGCCCAGGGUGCUCCUGGGCUGCCCUGUGUGUGGGUGAGUUGGGACAGUCCCUGUCCCUGCCCAGGGUGCUCCUGGGCUGCCCUGUGUGUGGGUCUGAGUGGGUUGUGGCAGCCAUGGGGAAGCUGAGGGUGGGAAAGGAGAUGGAGCCCCAGGCUGGGGUGUCUGGCUUGUGAGGGGACCUUGACUGUGCAGUGCAGGGUGGCCUGGUCGCCUCUCCCAGGCCCAGGCAGUGGCCAUCACAGCCGCUGAGAGACGUGUGGCUUGCAGGUGGGUGAACCAGGGAUGCUGUUGGUGGUUACAGGCGAUCCCUGGGCUGUGUAUACUGUGUGGCCCCGAGUUCUGAUCCCAGAGAGGGCUGAGCCCUGGGAUGGGUUGCUUUUGUCGGCCUCCAGCACCACAGGUGCCUGCACGUGCCGGCGGACACGCCGCUACUCGGAUGCUCCAGCACUCUCACUCUGCUCCCCCGUGGCGUCCCCAUUCACGACACGAGGACCCAAAGCUACAAGGACAGGCAGUGUCAGUCCUGCCGAGAGGUCUUGGUGAGUGUUGGUGAGGGAGGCCGUCUUGAGACCUCCGACCUCAUGUGUGAGACCCCUACACAGUGAGAACAGACGGCGCCAAUCCCCUGCGACUUCCUCGCAUGGGUAGCUCAGCCGGUCCUGUAACUGGUGCUGUCCCUGUGCUUCUGCUCACAGGUCAGCGAGCCCCGGGAUGAGACAGACGUGUUCUCACGGGUCAGUGAGCCCCGGGAUGAGACAGACGUGUUCUCACGGGUCAGUGAGCCCCGGGAUGAGACAGACGUGUUCUCACAGGUCAGCGAGCCCCGGGAUGAGACAGACGUGUUCUCACGGGUCAGUGAGCCCCGGGAUGAGACAGACGUGUUCUCACGGGUCAGCGAGCCCCGGGAUGAGACAGACGUGUUCUCACGGGUCAGCGAGCCCCGGGAUGAGACAGACGUGUUCUCACGGGUCAGUGAGCCCCGGGAUGAGACAGACGUGUUCUCACGGGUCAGCGAGCCCCGGGAUGAGACAGACGUGUUCUCACGGGUCAGCGAGCCCCGGGAUGAGACAGACGUGUUCUCACGGGUCAGCGAGCCCCGGGAUCAGACAGACGUGUUCUCACGGGUCAGCGAGCCCCAGGAUGAGACAGAUGUGUUCUCACGGGUCAGUGAGCCCCGGGAUGAGACAGACGUGUUCUCCCCCGGGAUGA